UUGUAUUGACCCGCAGUUUUUUCAAUUUGUUGGAACUUGGGAAGGAAAAUACAAGAGCGAGACUGAAGAAGCACAAAAACGAAGAUGAUUGAUGAUCAAGAUCUGGGUUUCUUUGCUAAUUUUCUCGGCAUCUCCAUCCUUGUGCUGGUGAUAGCAUACCACUUCGUCGUGGCUGAACCAAAGUAUGAAGGAAACUAGGAAUGCAUUGAAGUCAAAGAUAUGCUUCAAAAAUCAGUUGUUGGAGUUGGAUCCCUUUUUUCCAAUUAGUUGAUUCUAUAUAAGGUACCAUGUACAUAGAAUUGGAUAAUAUUAGGGUCAAGUCGCUUCUUACAGUCAUGCUGCUAGAUUUACUGUGAACUUAGGGUGUUGAUUUUACAAUAAAUUUCUUUCCUGUUUACCGCAAUUGAUGGCAACACAUUUUCUGUCACAAAAAUUCUGUCACUCCAUAUAACACUUAAUAUGAUUUGUUAGGAAAUACUUCAAUGUUAUUAAUACUGUACCGGUCAUUAAACCGGUAGGGGUACUACUACAGUGGUAUAGCGGUU